AGCGACGACGAAGUUACCUGUUUAUUAAAUGUAAUAUCCGAAUUAAAAAUUGUUGAAAUGUUAGACAGCAAAAAAUAUCGCUCGAGUGAUGUUUUCAAAACAGUAGCAGAAGCUCUGGAAAACAUCGGCUAUAAUAGAAAUUUCGACCAAGUACGAAAUAAAUACAAGUCUCAAACAAAGAAGAGUAUUUCAUUGUAAAACGACAACUUAACACCAGCGGAGCAUAUCCUGAUGUUAAAAAGCAGUUGAAAAACUUCGAAAAAUUAGAUGAAAUCUUUGGGUCAGAGGGAAUCGAUUCAUUAAAUGCAGAAUAUACGAAACCUAUAAACUCAACCAAGCGUACAGAGACACCAUCAACUAUAAGCGAUAGUUUUGAUGCAAAUAACAGUAACUCUCCGAAAGGUAUCUUAGCCAAUAACUGUUUUCAUCGAGGGCGCAAUGGUCUCCCCAACAAGAACAACAAC